ACGUAGGGGGCGAGCGUUGUCCGGAAUUACUGGGCGUAAAGGGCUUGUAGGCGGGCAUAUAAGUUUUGGAGUAAAGGCUUGGGCUCAACCCAAGUAUUUUCCAGAAUACUGUAUGUCUUGAGGACGGAAGAGGAGAGUGGAAUUCCUGGUGUAGCGGUGAAAUGCGUAGAUAUCAGGAGGAACACCGGUGGCGAAGGCGGCUCUCUGGUCCGGUUCUGACGCUGAGGAGCGAAAGCUAGGGUAGCGAACGG
rnacentral:rRNA from 1 species